rnacentral:misc_RNA from 1 species
AACGCAUAUUGCGCUCUUUGGUAUUCCGAAGAGCAUGCUUGUUUGAGUAUCAGUAAACACCUCAACCUCCUCUUGUUUUUUCAAAAGGAGGGUGGACUUGAGCUAUCCCAACAACCUUCACCGGUAGGCGGGCGGCUUGAAAUGCAGGUGCAGCUGGACUUUUAUCUGAGCUAAAAGCAUAUCUAUUUAGUCCUCGUCAAACAGGAUUAUUACUAUUGCUGCAGCUAACAUAAAGGAUAAUUGUCCUCAUUGCUGACUGAUGCAGGAUUUUACGACACUUUAUGUGUUGUUCAACUCGAUCUCAAAUCAGGUAAGACUACCCGCUGAACUUAA